CUUAUUUGGAGGAGAGGCAGGGAGGCCUCCUCAGAGACCCAUCACUGGCAUGCUUCUAACUCUGAACACGUGCUUUCUGGACCUAAUCAUCCAUAUCUGUAGGUUCAAUUACCACCAAUAUGCUCACGAUUCCUUUAUCCAGAUAGAGUAACAGGUUUGCGUCUCCAAGUGAGUCUAGGAGCUCUCUGGCAUGCCAGUUUACUUGCAAUUCUCCAAAUGUGGCAAACAAUUUCAUACCUUUGCAAAUGUGGUUCCUUCUGUCUAUGAUGCCCUCACUCCAACAGCUAUGAAUCAUUCUUCAAAACAUAUGUCAAGCAUCCUGGAAGCCUUCCCUUACUCUAAGUUCAAUAAGGGAAAGUAUGAGUAAUGAAGAGGGGAAAGCCCCUCAUGUGUACCUAACUAACUGUGGAAGUGGUUGAAAAAGAUGCAGCUGCUAUUUGGCC